AUCCAGCUGACGAGUCCCAAAUAGGACGAAAAUUGCGUCCUGGAU
rfam:Schistosoma rodhaini strain Burundi genome assembly, scaffold: SROB_scaffold0000219